AGCCGUGCCGCGUGCUUACACAUGCAGUCGAACGGUGAAGCAGAGCUUGCUCUGUGGAUCAGUGGCGAACGGGUGAGUAACACGUGAGCAACCUGCCCUGGACUCUGGGAUAAGCGCUGGAAACGGCGUCUAAUACUGGAUACGAGACGUGGCCGCAUGGUCAACGUUUGGAAAGAUUUUUUGGUUCAGGAUGGGCUCGCGGCCUAUCAGCUUGUUGGUGAGGUAAUGGCUCACCAAGGCGUCGACGGGUAGCCGGCCUGAGAGGGUGACCGGCCACACUGGGACUGAGACACGGCCCAGACUCCUACGGGAGGCAGCAGUGGGGAAUAUUGCACAAUGGGCGAAAGCCUGAUGCAGCAACGCCGCGUGAGGGAUGACGGCCUUCGGGUUGUAAACCUCUUUUAGCAAGGAAGAAGCGAAAGUGACGGUACUUGCAGAAAAAGCGCCGGCUAACUACGUGCCAGCAGCCGCGGUAAUACGUAGGGCGCAAGCGUUAUCCGGAAUUAUUGGGCGUAAAGAGCUCGUAGGCGGUUUGUCGCGUCUGCUGUGAAAACUGGAGGCUCAACCUCCAGCCUGCAGUGGGUACGGGCAGACUAGAGUGCGGUAGGGGAGAUUGGAAUUCCUGGUGUAGCGGUGGAAUGCGCAGAUAUCAGGAGGAACACCGAUGGCGAAGGCAGAUCUCUGGGCCGUAACUGACGCUGAGGAGCGAAAGGGUGGGGAGCAAACAGGCUUAGAUACCCUGGUAGUCCACCCCGUAAACGUUGGGAACUAGUUGUGGGGACCAUUCCACGGUUUCCGUGACGCAGCUAACGCAUUAAGUUCCCCGCCUGGGGAGUACGGCCGCAAGGCUAAAACUCAAAGGAAUUGACGGGGACCCGCACAAGCGGCGGAGCAUGCGGAUUAAUUCGAUGCAACGCGAAGAACCUUACCAAGGCUUGACAUAUACGAGAACGCUGCAGAAAUGUAGAACUCUUUGGACACUCGUAUACAGGUGGUGCAU
rnacentral:rRNA from 1 species